CCUACGGGGGGCAGCAGUGGGGAAUCUUCCGCAAUGGGCGCAAGCCUGACGGAGCAAUGCCGCGUGAACGAAGAAGGUCUUCGGAUUGUAAAGUUCUGUCCUUAUCGAAGAGAGGGUAUAGAGUGAAAAAUGAUAUGCUAGGACGGUAGAUGAGGAGGAAGCCCCGGCUAACUACGUGCCAGCAGCCGCGGUAAUACGUAGGGGGCGAGCGUUAUCCGGAAUGAUUGGGCGUAAAGGGUGCGCAGGCGGUCCUGCAAGUCUGGAGUGAAACGCAUGAGCUCAACUCAUGCAUGGCUUUGGAAACU
rnacentral:rRNA from 1 species